GAUGAGCCGAAGUCGGAUUAGCUAGUUGGUAGGGUAACGGCCUACCAAGGCGACGAUCCGUAGCUGGUCUGAGAGGACGACCAGCCACACUGGGACUGAGACACGGCCCAGACUCCUACGGGAGGCAGCAGUGGGGAAUAUUGGACAAUGGGGGAAACCCUGAUCCAGCGACGCCGCGUGUGUGAAGAAGGCCUGCGGGUUGUAAAGCACUUUUAGUGGGGAUGAAAAGCUCAGGGAUAACACCUCUGGGUCUUGACCUAACCCACAGAAAAAGCACCGGCUAACUCUGUGCCAGCAGCCGCGGUAAUACAGAGGGUGCAAGCGUUAAUCGGAAUUACUGGGCGUAAAGCGUGCGUAGACGGUUAUGUAAGUCGGGUGUGAAAGCCCCGGGCUCAACCUGGGAAUGCCAUUCGAGACUGCAUAGCUAGGGUGCGGAAGAGGGAAGCGGAAUUUCCGGUGUAGCGGUGAAAUGCGUAGAUAUCGGAAGG
rnacentral:rRNA from 1 species